rnacentral:rRNA from 1 species
CCUACUGGUCGCAGCAGUGAGGAAUCUUGGUCAAUGGGCGGAAGCCUGAACCAGCCAAGUCGCGUGAGGGAAUAAGGCCCUACGGGUCGUAAACCUCUUUUGCCGGGGAGCAAGGGCGGGGACGUGUCCCGGCCCGGAGAGUACCCGGAGAAAAAGCAUCGGCUAAAUCCGUGCCAGCAGCCGCGGUAAUACGGAGUAUGCGAGCGUUAUCCGGAUUUAGUGGGUUUAAAGGGUGCGUAGGCGGGCUGUUAAGUCAGCGGUAAAAAUUCGGGGCUCAACCCCGUCCGGCCGUUGAAACUGGGGGCCUUGAGUGGGCGAGAAGAAGGCGGAAUGCGUGGUGUAGAGGUGAAAUGCUUAGAUAGCACGCAGAACCCCGAUUGCGAAGGCAGCCUGCCAAGCCAUGACUGACGCUGAUGCACGAAAGCGUGGGGAUCAAACAGGAUUAGAUACCCCAGUAGUC